rnacentral:rRNA from 1 species
GACAGAGGAUGCAAGCGUUAUCCGGAAUGAUUGGGCGUAAAGCGUCUGUAGGUGGCUUUUUAAGUCCGCCGUCAAAUCCCAGGGCUCAACCCUGGACAGGCGGUGGAAACUACCAAGCUGGAGUACGGUAGGGGCAGAGGGAAUUUCCGGUGGAGCGGUGAAAUGCGUAGAGAUCGGGAAGAACACCCGUGGCUAAGGCGGCUCUCGUAGUACGGUACUGACGCUGAGACGCGAAAGCGUGGGGAGCGAACGAGG